AGUGGGGAAUAUUGCGCAAUGGGCGAAAGCCUGACGCAGCAACGCCGCGUGAGGGAUGAAGGUCUUUGGAUUGUAAACCUCUGUCGAAUGGGAAGAAAUUUUGACGGUACCAUUAAAGGAAGCCCCGGCUAACUCCGUGCCAGCAGCCGCGGUAAUACGGAGGGGGCAAGCGUUGUUCGGAAUUAUUGGGCGUAAAGAGUAUGUAGGCGGUUAGAUAAGUCAGGUGUGUAAGCCCAGGGCUCAACCCUGGAAUUGCACUUGAAACUGUUUAACUUGAGUUCAGGAGAGGAAAGCGGAAUUCCCAGUGUAGCGGUGAAAUGCAUUGAUAUUGGGAAGAACAUCGGUGGCGAAGGCGGCUUUCUGGUCUGAUACUGACGCUGAGAUACGAAAGCUAGGGGAGCGAACGGGAUUAGAUACCCCGGUAGUCCACGCCGUAAACGAUGCACACUAGGUCGCGGUACCUCUCAUGGUUUCGCGGCCGAAGGAAAACUGGUAAGUGUGCCGCCUGGGGAGUACGGUCGCAAGGCUAAAACUCAAAGGAAUUGACGGGGGCUCACACAAGCGGUGGAGCAUGUUGCUUAAUUCGAGGCAACGCGAAGAACCUUACCUAGGCUUGACAUGUAUGGAUUAGCAUUAUGAAAGUUUUGUAACGCCCUUGGGUGGAACAUACACAGGUGCUGCAUGGCUGUCGUCAGCUCGUGCUGUGAAGUGUCGGGUUAAGUCCCUUAACGAGCGCAACCCCUAUCGUUAGUUACUAACGCGUUAUGGCGAGGACUCUAGCGAGACUGCCGGUGUCAAACCGGAGGAAGGUGGGGAUGACGUCAAGUCAGCAUGGCCCUUAUGCCUAGGGAUGCAAACGUGCUACAAUGGUACGGACAAAGCGAUGCGAUACCGCGAGGUGGAGCAAAUCGCAAAAACCGUGCCCCAGUUCGGAUAGCAGGCUGAAAUUCGCCUGCUUGAAGCCGGAAUCGCUAGUAAUCGCGUAUCAGCUACGACGCGGUGAAUACGUUCCUGAGCCUUGUACACACCGCCCGUCAAGUCAUGGAAGCUGUUAGUGCCCGAAGUCACCUCGUUUCAGGGGUGCCUACGGCAAGAAUGGUGACUGGGACU
rnacentral:rRNA from 1 species